rnacentral:lncRNA from 1 species
CCACUUUGACCGUCUGUAGUCUGGACAUAUUGUCUCAAAAAAACUUUCCAAAUAAUAUACUUUGAUGAAUUUUCAAGAAAUUCCAAGGACAUCAUCAUUGUUUUCACGGAUUUUUUUUACAUUUCGAUUAUUCGUAAAAUGUUGUACUAAGUUGGCCAAACAAAUUAAAGGCCUUAAGAGUAAGACCCCAAUAUUAUACUGGAAGCAGUCUAACAAAUGUUUGGAUGAUUAUACCUCAAAUUUCCUUUUACACACACACAUGCACUCAUGCAAUCACACCACGCAGCAUGCAGAUAUAUGUAUAUGCAUGUGUGUCUGUAUCAACCGCUAGUUCUUGUCAGUUUACCUUCCAGCAUAAAAGACAGAAAUGAAUCAGUUCUUCUGUCCACUGUAAUCCCUUUUCCAAGUAAUUUGCAUCAAGUCAUAAGAAGCCACAAAAUCUAUUCUAUUAAUCAAUAGCAACAGCUACAGCAAUACCACGUGUUAAGAAUUCUCCAUUUUCUUUGUUUUAUUAGAGAAGAAGGUAAAUGUUGUUUUAUUAAUAAAAAAAGAAACAUAAUAUACAAUCUGUAAUGAGAGAUGCCAUGAUGAUAACCCACAAGUAAAGAACAAAAAGGGAAACAGAAAAAGAAGCACACCCCACUUCCUUUUAGCCGAUGCAUCAACAAUUUCAUAUUUUGUUGCUAAGCAUUCUUUACCAGGAAACACAGCAUAGCGACAUACAUAAAUUUUUCUCCCCACGAUGAGAGGUGGAAGAAGCUUCCUGAGGAUCUCGCUGUUGAUUGAAAUAAAGUUCACCAUAACCCGGUAUGAUGCCAAUUAGUCGGCCAAGGGUUACACUGCUAUUAUCUCGAAAGAAGGAUCUCGUGGACUGCAAAACAGGGACAAAAGCAGGGAAUAUGCAAAUGCACAAAGAGAGAGAGAGAGAGAGAGAGAGAGAGAGAGAGAGAGAGAGGAGGCG